rnacentral:lncRNA from 1 species
GCAUGAAACUUAUUUCCUACAUAGUUCAUAAAUAAAGAUUAAUUUAUUUUAUACCAUGAUUCUAUUGUGCAACUAUUUAUUGAUAGAAAUUUUAACCUAAAAAUAUCAAAUUAGAUGAAGAUACCUGAAAAUGUGCCAUUUGAAAUACAUAAUGUGUGUGUUGAUGUGCCACUUGAAAAUUCAAAAUCCAAGAAACUCGUAGGC